UACGUAGGGUGCAAGCGUUAAUCGGAAUUACUGGGCGUAAAGCGUGCGCAGGCGGUUGUGCAAGACCGAUGUGAAAUCCCCGGGCUUAACCUGGGAACUGCAUUUGUGACUGCACGGCUAGAGUGUGUCAGAGGGGGGUAGAAUUCCACGUGUAGCAGUGAAAUGCGUAGAUAUGUGGAGGAAUACCGAUGGCGAAGGCAGCCCCCUGGGAUAACACUGACGCUCAUGCACGAAAGCGUGGGGAGCAAACAGG
rnacentral:rRNA from 1 species